GGUGAACGCUGGCGGCGUGCUUAAGACAUGCAAGACGAACGGCAGUCUUCGGACUGUAGUGGCGCACGGGUGAGUAACGCGUAACUGACCUACCCCAAAGUCGCGGAUAACGAUUCGAAAGAAUCGCUAAUACGUGAUGUGCUGUCAGAUUGUGUUCUGCCAGUAAAGAUUGAUUGCUUUGGGAUGGGGUUGCGUUCCAUCAGCUAGUUGGUGGGGUAAAGGCCCACCAAGGCGACGACGGAUAGCCGGCCUGAGAGGGUGGCCGGCCACAGGGGCACUGAGACACGGGUCCCACUCCUACGGGAGGCAGCAGUUAGGAAUCUUCCACAAUGGGCGAAAGCCUGAUGGAGCGACGCCGCGUGAGGGAUGAAAGUCUUCGGAUCGUAAACCUCUGAAUCAGGGACGAAAGACACUUCGGUGGGAUGACGGUACCUGAGUAAUAGCACCGGCUAACUCCGUGCCAGCCGCCGCAGUAACAC
rnacentral:rRNA from 1 species